rnacentral:rRNA from 1 species
GUCAAACUUUAGUUGCGAGAAAUUAUUAGCGAUCUAACGUGCCAGCAGCAUUAACCUGUGGUGARAUACGCAAAUAAAUACCACUAUCUGUACGUAUUAAGGGCAAAACAUUACUGCUAAACAGGGAUUAGAGACCCCUUUAUACAAAUGCUCAAUUACCAUUGCGGGGUACUAAAACUUUUUGAGUUAAAACCUAAACAACAUGGCGGUAAUUUUAAUUUAGGGGGACUUACUUAGUAAUUGAUAACCACCAAGGCAAAUUAACUUCGACAAACUCUUGUAUGCCGUCGUCGUCAGGUAGCACUUAAUGUUCUACCUUAAUAGAGCACCUAAAAAGACAGAUCAAGGUGCAGACAAUGCCGGAGUUGUAGCGAGUUACAGUUUUGAUUAUUAACGGAUUUACCUAUGUGAAUAACAUUGAAGAAGGACUUAACAGUAAUAAAUAAUAUUCUUAUUUUAUGAAGACUCUGAG